rnacentral:lncRNA from 1 species
CCAUCCCCCGCCCGGAUCCGGCGGCAACACCCGUCCCUCGCGGCAGCGUCGGGUGACGGCAACGGCCUGCGGCAGCGGUGGGCGGCUCGGGAGCAAAACCCUAGCUCCUGUCGUCGCCGCCCUCCUUCCCUCCUCUCCUCCACAUUCCCGUCGUCGAAGCGCGUCUCCAGGAGAACCAGGCGGCGAGUCGGGCUGUCGGUGGCGGGGCCGUCUUCUCUGCCUUCCCGCGCCGGUGGACGAGGAACAGGAGGGGAUGGGGCCGGCACGUCAUCCGGCAGCGGCGCCGCGGUGAUCCGGUCGCUGCUCCCCGCCGGCUGUUGCUGCUGCUGCUGCUUUCCUGUCUUCUUGCUCUGGGUGAAGGUUGGAUCCUCGGUGGAGCAUGCCGAUGCUACCGACUCCACCAUCGAUGUAGCUGGCAGUGGAUUUUGA